rnacentral:lncRNA from 1 species
UUCAGUUUAUAUCAUUAUUACUCUUUGGUUUUUAUCACGUAAUCCAGAAACGAAAUCAGUAAUCAUGGUAUCGAAUACAAUUAAAUUAGGUUUUUUUUUCUUGUCCAACACGCGACGGUUCCUACUGUCACGCUCAGCAAUCUUACCCGAAAAUCUUCCUCCGGUCGAUCGUCUGCCUACGUAAAAAUCCAAUGUUCUUUACCUCACCGGUAAAACUUCCACCGGCGAAGUUCCGAUUAAUCGAGUUAUAGAUCACGUUUUCUUUUUUCCGUCUCCGACGACGUUGAUAUUCCGUAUUCAAAGCUAACAUGCGCCUCCAGAAGCUAGAUCCAACGGCCAUCCAUGGCGUCACCCAGUUCCCCGAUAUGACGUCAUCAGAGUUCCGGAAGCAUCUCGGAUUGAGACCUCGUCUCCAGCGAUUGUGGUGUUGUUUUCUUUGAUCAAGAACCGUUGUACCGACGGUGGUUAUUGUGCUUGAACCCGACGCUUAUGGGUACGGUGAUGCCGGUUGUAUGUGAUGAAGAUGAAGAGUGGUAAUCAUUUUUUUUUUUUUGAGAAUCGAAAUUUUUGAGGACCGUACACAUACAAAUCUUAUAAUGAAAAGAAUAGUAACUUUGGCAGAUUUAUGUUUCCAAGGUUU